rnacentral:rRNA from 1 species
CGGCGACGUGGGCGGUUCGCCGCCGGCGACGUCGCGAGAAUUCCACUGAACCUUAUCAUUUAGAGGAAGGAGAAGUCGUAACAAGGUUUCCGUAGGUGAACCUGCGGAAGGAUCAUUGUCGAACCUGCAAGGCAGAACGACCUGUGAACAUGUAAAUACAACCCGGUGAUGGGGAUAUGGUCCUUGGUCCUUAUCCCCUUCCCCUCCCUGCAUGCGUGUGCGGAGCUCCGUUUGGGGUGCCAUGCAUGUCAUGUUGGGAUUUAACAAACCCCGGCACGGAAUGUGCCAAGGAAAACAAAAGUGAGAAGGACUCGUCUUGUCUUGCCCCGUUCGCGGUGUGCAAGCGGGUUGUGGCCUCUUUGUAAUUAAAAACGACUCUCGGCAACGGAUAUCUCGGCUCACGCAUCGAUGAAGAACGUAGCAAAAUGCGAUACUUGGUGUGAAUUGCAGAAUCCCGUGAACCAUCGAGUUUUUGAACGCAAGUUGCGCCCGAAGCCAUCCGGCCGAGGGCACGCCUGCUUGGGCGUCACGCUUCGCGUCCCCCCACCAUAUAAUACCCAACGGGUACUUAUGGUGUUUGGGGCGGAGAUUGGCAUCCCGUACUUGUAUUGCGGUUGGCCUAAAAAUGAGUCCCCUUCAGCGGACGCACGACUAGUGGUGGUUGAACAGACCCUCGUCCUUAUCGUGUGUCGUGAGCUGCUAGGGAAGCCCUCACCAAAGACCCCAUUGCAUUGUUUUUUGGACGGUGCUUCGACCGCGACCCCAGGUCAGGCGGGACUACCCGCUGAGUUUAAGCAUAUCAAUAAGCGGAG